rnacentral:rRNA from 1 species
CCCGCUGAACUUAAGCAUAUCAAUAAGCGGAGGAAAAGAAACUAACAAGGAUUCCCCUAGUAACUGCGAGUGAAGCGGGAAAAGCUCAAAUUUAAAAUCUGACGGUCUUUGGCCGUUCGAGUUGUAAUCUAGAGAAGUGAUGCCCGCGCUGGACCGUGUACAAGUCUCCUGGGAUGGAGCGUCAUAGAGGGUGAGAAUCCCGUCUCUGACACGGACUACCAGGGCUUUGUGGUACGCUCUCAAAGAGUCGAGUUGUUUGGGAAUGCAGCUCAAAAUGGGUGGUAAAUUCCAUCUAAAGCUAAAUAUUGGCGAGAGACCGAUAGCGAACAAGUACCGUGAGGGAAAGAUGAAAAGAACUUUGGAAAGAGAGUUAAACAGUACGUGAAAUUGCUGAAAGGGAAACGCUUGAAGUCAGUCGCGUUGGCCGGGAAUCAGCCUUGCUUUUUGUGAGGUGUACUUCCUGGUUGAUGGGUCAGCAUCAAUUUUGACCGUCGGAUAAAGGCCGAGGGAACGUGGCAUCCUCCGGGGUGUGUUAUAGCCCUUGGUUCGCAUACGGCGAUCGGGAUUGAGGAACUCAGCGUGCCUUCAUUGGUCGGGGCUUCGCGGCUCACGUUAACGCGCUUAGGAUGCUGACAUAAUGGCUUUAAGCGACCCGUCUUGAAACACGG